rnacentral:lncRNA from 1 species
GAACAGAAUAUGAACAGAGAUACAGUAAAACAUCAAAGCACGAAACAGAACAGGUGCUUGGGGUCAUUCUAAUUGAUAGUUUCAAGAGUAUUACUAUUAUGUUGUAAGGAGUAAAUGAAGAGCACCAAUAUUUUGGACCUAAUAAGAAAUGCUUAUGCCGCAGCUUUGAAAGAUAAUAAAUAGGAUGAUAAAAAGGGAGAAGAGAGAAUUGUGAAGAAAAACCAUGGGGACUUUUUAGGUUUUCUCACGAGAAGGUUAAUCAGAGGGGGAAGUGAAGAGAAGGGGAGAUUGAUUGAUUGUAAAGCAAAUUAAGAAAGAGGUUAUUGAAGGCAAUCUUACUUGAUUGAAUUUGAUCUGAAGAUGAAAGUUGGUUAUUAAUCAACGUAUGCGUAGGUCUUGAAUGUGAGAAACUUUGGACCACUGGGAGUCGGGGCCGCUGCUCUCAGGAGUGCAUCUUUCUUUUAACAGAGGAGAACCAAAAACCCACAGACGUUUUAGUUUGGUGAGACUUCUCAUGGCAUCCUCAGAGGGUAGAUGUCCAAGCUCUUUGAAACCAAAUAACCGCAGCUCUUCAAGAGCAGCGAAGUUUCCGAACCAAUCUGGCAGAGCUUUUAUACCUCCAAAGUCGUAUAGCCAUAGUGACGUCAGAGCGGUCAAGCAUUGGAUCUGAGGUGGCAGGGACUCCAUGUGUGGCAACCCACAUAAGUCUAAUCCACGGGGUGCGGAUGACGAAGAGGAGGAUAUCAAUCCAGACCAAUCAAACUCAUUGUAAAUUGAAGAAUUUUCAUGAUCAUCACCAUCUUCUGAGAAGGGACCAAUGCUAAGCUCCCUUAAGCUGGUUAGGAAACCAAAUCCUUUGGGCGUCAUGCUUGUUUUCAGUUUGGGACACCUGUAUAAUUCCAGCUCCAAGAGAGAAGGCGUUUGUUGCAAAUUGAGCGGAAAGGAGAUAAGAUUGUCGCAAUAAGCCACCCGAAGCUUCUGGAGAGAGGUACAAGAGUGUAGCAUGUCACCUGGCAGAUUCGUCAACCCAUCGAAACGAGCAAUCACUAGCUCUUUAAGAGACGCAAAGUUUUGCAGGGGAAGGAGUUCUCUGCAUCUGUCGCAGCUAUAAAAUCGCAAACGCGCUAACUCGGGGAGUGUUAUUGCUGACUCGGGGAGUGUUGUUGUUGUUGUUGGCAAAUCCAUUAACCAUCGAGGAAAUUGAUCGCCCAUAAAAUUGCAAAUUGCCAACUCCUCCAAAUUUGGGUGGGCUUGAAGGCCAUCUAACACAUCUUCGUCGUUGUAGUCGUCGCCUUCUCGAUCAUCUGCCCACUCAAGUACCAACUCAAAUAGAUUUGCCUUUUCAGAUAGUUUUGCUUCCUCAGCUCCUUCCUUAUCCUUUACUAGUUCCAGAUUGCAUAUCCUCAAACUGCCUUUGAGGUUCUUCAAGCUUCCAAGCUCUCCAAUUCGUCGACCCUUCUCUCGACCCACGUUAAAGAACUCUAGUGUCUGAAGGCAAGUCAGCCGUCCCAUCUCUAGCGGCAUUUGAAAUUUUUUAUCAAAGGUGUGAAAGUGGAGAUGUCUCAAGCUAAUCAAAUCGCACAUCCCCUUCGGAAGAACUUUAAGAAAGUGACUUAGCCUCAGUGUCUGCAAAUUAUAAAGUUUGCAAACAGAUUCCGGCAACGUUUGACUUCUAGAACGCUCAAAGUUGAUGUACCUCAAGUGUCUCAGUUUGCCAAUUGAGAUUGGCAGAUUCUGAUUUUCUUCACCGGACAAAUUCAGAACGUGCAGAUUCUUCAACCUCAUUAGCAUAUCAUCAGAUAAGCUACCCUGACUCAGAAACAAUGUAUGAAGCAAAUUUGAUGGACUCUCAAAAAGAUUUUUUGUGCCUUCUCCAAAUGAGUCUAUUACAAGACAACGAACCUGAUUACUAUUGUCUUCUGAACCAGUCUCCGAAUUAAUGACUUUAGCAGACUUUGACAUUAUUGAUGUUGCGACGUCGUGCACCAUAUCAUGCAUUUUAUAAUACCUUCUCCCAUAUUUUCCUAUUUCUUCCAGCAAAGAACUCUGCAAUAAAAUUUCCAAGUAAUACUCUCCAAUUUCCUCCAUUGUUUUGUUCUCGAGACCUGCAUGGAGGAAACCUUCUGCCAUCCAAAGUUCGAUCAGCAUAUCCCGUUCCAUCUCAGUAUCCUUGGGAAAAAUAGAACAAUAUGCAAAACAUUUCUUAAUGGGUGCUUGGGUCAUUCUAAUUGAUAGUUUCAAGAGUAUUACUAUUAUGUUGUAAGGAGUAAAUGAAGAGCACCAAUAUUUUGGACCUAAUAAGAAAUGCUUAUGCCGCAGCUUUGAAAGAUAAUAAAUAGGAUGAUAAAAAGGGAGAAGAGAGAAUUGUGAAGAAAAACCAUGGGACUUUUUAGGUUUUCUCACGAGAAGGUUAAUCAGAGGGGGAAGUGAAGAGAAGGGGAGAUUGAUUGAUUGUAAAGCAAAUUAAGAAAGAGGUUAUUGAAGGCAAUCUUACUUGAUUGAAUUUGAUCUGAAGAUGAAAGUUGGUUAUUAAUCAACGUAUGCGUAGGUCUUGAAUGUGAGAAACUUUGGACCACUGGGAGUCGGGGCCGCUGCUCUCAGGAGUGCAUCUUUCUUUUAACAGAGGAGAACCAAAAACCCACAGACGUUUUAGUUUGGUGAGACUUCUCAUGGCAUCCUCAGAGGGUAGAUGUCC